rnacentral:misc_RNA from 1 species
UCAGCCGGCAAAGGAAGACACAA